rnacentral:rRNA from 1 species
UAGCGGAGGAAAAGAAACCAACUGGGAUUACCUUAGUAACGGCGAGUGAAGCGGUAAAAGCUCAAAUUUGAAAUCUGGUACUUUCAGUGCCCGAGUUGUAAUUUGUAGAAUUUGUCUUUGAUUAGGUCCUUGUCUAUGUUCCUUGGAACAGGACGUCAUAGAGGGUGAGAAUCCCGUUUGGCGAGGAUACCUUUUCUCUGUAAGACUUUUUCGAAGAGUCGAGUUGUUUGGGAAUGCAGCUCAAAGUGGGUGGUAAAUUCCAUCUAAAGCUAAAUAUUGGCGAGAGACCGAUAGCGAACAAGUACAGUGAUGGAAAGAUGAAAAGAACUUUGAAAAGAGAGUGAAAAAGUACGUGAAAUUGUUGAAAGGGAAGGGCAUUUGAUCAGACAUGGUGUUUUUUGCAUGCACUCGCCUCUCGUGGGCUUGGGCCUCUCAAAAAUUUCACUGGGCCAACAUCAAUUCUGGCAGCAGGAUAAAUCAUUAAGAAUGUAGCUACUUCGGUAGUGUUAUAGCUUUUUGGAAUACUGUUAGCCGGGAUUGAGGACUGCGCUUCGGCAAGGAUGUUGGCAUAAUGGUUAAAUGCCGCCCGUCUUGA